rnacentral:lncRNA from 1 species
CCCUUCUCAGUAUCUCCCCAACUCUGUGUGCGGUACAGGUGGUCUCGGAUGCACUCCUUCUGCUGCCUACCCCGAAUGGCCCUGAGGAGGGCUGUUUACCAGGCACCAAUGCUUUAUCAUCUGAAAAACACAUGGCAGAAAGAAUUCAAGGGAGGACGGAGAAAACCCAAAGAUACCUUGUCAGGUGAGAGGAGGGCUUCAGAGUCACUCACGCCAAACAGGCUUCAUAGCCACGCCAGGGGCCCAUGAUGGUGAUCUACAGGGUCCAGCCGUGAGUGAGGAGCCCUGUGGUUGAAAAACACAGGGUGUGGGUGGAUUAGAACUCCUUCCAAAACACAGAUUAUUGAGCCUUUCCUCCCAGGGUUUUAGAUUUAAUCACUCUUGGGUGGGCCUGAGAAUUUGCAUUUUGAGGCGAGUCCUCAUGCUCUGCUGGUACUGCUGGAAUGGCCACCACACCUUGAGCACCGCUGGGUUGGAGGAGGAGUGCUGACGGAGUGCUAAGCUGAUCUCAUCCUGGCCAGACCUUAGGAGGGAGCUCCUGCAAACUGAUGCCAGCAGGGCCAGGCGAGCAUGGAUCACGUGGACACGGAGGCCCUUUGUCCUGCUUCGUCCGUCCAACCCUAUGCCAGUGAGCUCCACGAAGCAGUGACGCCUGCAGAGACUCUGGCCACAGGAAGUGUCAGUAUCCUUUGGUGCAGCUGUGAAUGGUGCCCAGGAGCUGAGCGUCUUGUAGUGCCUGAAGGUAACAA